rnacentral:rRNA from 1 species
GAUGAACGCUGGCGGCGUGCUUAACACAUGCAAGUCGAACGAAGAUGCCGGAGUGCUUGCACUUUGGCAGACUGAGUGGCGGACGGGUGAGUAACGCGUGGGUAACCUGCCUUAUACAGGGGGAGUAACAGUUGGAAACGACUGCUAAUACCGCAUAAGCGCACGGUAUCGCAUGAUACAGUGUGAAAACUACCGGUGGUAUAAGAUGGACCCGCGUCUGAUUAGCUAGUUGGUGAGGUAACGGCCCACCAAGGCGACGAUCAGUAGCCGGUCUGAGAGGAUGAACGGCCACACUGGAACUGAGACACGGUCCAGACUCCUACGGGAGGCAGCAGUGGGGAAUCUUCCGCAAUGGGCGAAAGCCUGACGGAGCAACGCCGCGUGAGUGAUGACGGCCUUCGGUU